GCCGCCGUAGCUCAGGGGUAGAGCACACCCUUGGUAAGGGUGGGGCCGGAGGUUCGAUUCCUCCCGGCGGCACCA
rnacentral:tRNA from 1 species